rnacentral:rRNA from 1 species
AAUGAACGCUGGCGGCAGGCCUAACACAUGCAAGUCGAACGGGUCCUUCGGGACUAGUGGCGGACGGGUGAGUAACGCGUGGGAACAUGCCCUUUGGUACGGAAUAGCCUCGGGAAACUGGGAGUAAUACCGUAUGUGGUCGAGAGACGAAAGAUUUAUCGCCAAAGGAUUGGCCCGCGUUGGAUUAGGUAGUUGGUGGGGUAAUGGCCUACCAAGCCGACGAUCCAUAGCUGGUUUGAGUGGAGGAUCAGCCACACUGGAACUUGGACACGGCCCAGACUCCUACGGGAGGCAGCAGUGGGGAAUCUUUGACAAUGGGGGAAACCCUGAUCUAGCCAUGCCGCGUGAUCGAUGAAGGCCUUAGGGUUGUAAAGAUCUUUCAGGUGGGAAGAUAAUGACUGUACCACCAGAAGAAGCCCCGGCUAACUCCGUGCCAGCCGCCGCGGUAACAC